UAAUUGAGCAGAUCUUGGUAUUUUUAUUCACAUCGGUAAUUUCCUUACAAUAUUUUUAAAGAGCAAUUAGAAUUUGUGUUACAAGAAAAAAAACUAUCUCACUCCAAAUAACUCAGAAGCGGGAAAUCAUCGGGGCGUACUAGCGGAAAAAGCGGCGUUUCGUAAUUGUCUGAAGUUCAGACGACCUAUGGCGCUUACGCUUGGCGAUAAGAUUGGCUUCUUCUUAUGUUUAAGGAAAUAUGAAUCAAUAUGUAUCAAAUAUAUAGGUUACUAAUCUAACCAGACCGUAACUUUAUAAAGCGUUGAUUACUUACAGACAUUUGUCACAUCCUCAAGGCUUAAACUUUCUUGUUAAUACUGGAUAAACCGCAAAUAGAGCGUUAAUUCUCUGCUUGGUAAUUACUCAAUACUUUUACUACCUUCGCUGCAGGAAUAUUUAUAGAUAAAAAAAUUAAAUCUCUAAAUAUGGGCACAUUCAAAAUAAAGUUUCAAACGGUUAUGCAUACAUACAGGCAGUAUUCAUUUUUAGUUUUGUAUACAACAACACCAACAAAUGGCAAUAGUUUUGGCUGGCUUAUCACCAAUAAAA